CAUCCUGGUGAUGCAUCACUCCAUGAAACCUCAUCCCACCAUCACUGCCACGCUGCUAGAGGGGGAGCAGCGUCUGGCUGCUCCGCUACCUCACCCCCUCCAUCUACACAGACUGAAUGUUUCUGUCUCGGUUCAGUUCCCAGAUGAGACGCUGUGGAGCGUUUAGCUGCUCAACAUGAUCGUAGCUGUCAGACUCCACACAGUUUAGUCUCUAGACUGGGAGACCUUCGAACAGUACAGCACCUGGCAGCUGUUCCUGGCCCACAGCAUCCCCCUGCAGACCAUCAUCUCCAUCCUGCAGUACCUUAAAUUUAAAGAACACCAAGGCCUUGUCCUGUCUGCUGCUGCUCUGCAGAGAGAAGCCCAGUGAGGAGAUGGUGAAGAUUUUCCUGAGUUGUCCCUGUCACCCCGAGGACCAGUUCAGCACCAGCAUCCUGAGACACUGGGCGUUCAAUCACGACAACACGCUGAGAGAACGCAUCAAGGCCCAGCUGGUCGAGAAUAGGGAUGCAACGAUUACAGAUUUUGUUGGUAUGAUUAUUGUCAGAAAUCAGUUUCAUGAUUAUUAUGCAUUAAUUAAUUUCACAACAAUAAUGACAUAAGUUGAUUUUUAAUUAAUUGCAUUAACAAUUUCUAUAAUAUGUAAGUAUUUAUAUAAGGAAUAUUAACUAACCAGGGUUGUCAUAAAGGAGGGGAAUAAA